UCCACAACAACACGGAUGGCGAACGGGAUAGCCGAGAAUAUGUUCGAAUCCACGGUAAAAUCAGUUUUAAAUUACCAUAAACACAUCGACACGAGUCCUUGACAACAGUCUGUCUCGCGCUAGCCAUGUUGAAUAAACUCCGCUCUCCUCGUAUGUUUACUUCCGCGCGCAAGUCCCUCGUCGUUUUACUAACGUCACGUCUGCCAUCUCGGUGCUCGGAUGGAUAAAAAGAGCAAGGGUGGUGCUGAAAAAAUAAGAAUUAAAAAGAGAAAAGCACUCGAAAAAAAUCGGCAAAAUGCGCAAAAGUAGCUAUUUUUUUUCAUGCAACGACCUCGUUGCCUCAAACUACAGAGGAUUACAACGAAAGUGCACCUCACAAGGGAUAUGUAGCAGCAAGCAUUAGCCAUAAUGAACACAUCACAGGUGCAGAGCUGGAAGUGGCAGACACGGGGGGAAGUGGCGAGGAUGGGAUUGCUGCCAUUGAUGCUGUCAGUGUUGAAAAAACAGAAAUCCAGUGUUAGAUCGAGCGUGCGUGUUUGUGAAUAGCUCCUCAAGAUGUGGGCUGCCCCCUACUUGAACUCGAGGCGCAGUGCAUGACCGAUCUGACCCGUCAACACCAUUAUGAAGUCUAUGCAAUAUUAAAAAGCCUGCUUGGUGACAUUAGGGUGUUCAAAUACUGAUUUUCUUUCUGUGUGGUAUAAACGAUUCAAUUCUCUACCAAUCACAGCAUCCCCUGUCAAUCCCUUCAAAAGUGGUGUUGUGGAAAAGUACGUCCUGAAAUAAUCAUUUGCUUGUUUUCAGCCCCUCCCAGUCAAAAUGGAUUUGAUGCUUAAUGCUGGCAAUGAGUUUCCAAUUAAUCUGAACCCCCACUGAAGUUCAAAUCCUAGUCGCACCCCCAAUUAUGACCCACGGUGGCUUUCGGGCUCUCCGCAUGUUGCAACCAGCCGCAUAGUGUUGUGAUUACAGCAAGGAGACAUGCGCUUCCCUCCCAAGAUCUUCCCUGAGGCGAACACAGAUCGCAUCAAAUACGG